GACGAACGCUGGCGGCGUGCCUAAUACAUGCAAGUAGAACGCAAAGUUUAUACCGUAGCUUGCUACACCAUAGACUGUGAGUUGCGAACGGGUGAGUAACGCGUAGGUAAUCUGCCUGGUAGCGGGGGAUAACUAUUGGAAACGAUAGCUAAUACCGCACAAUAUUAGUUAUUGCAUGAUAAUUAAUUGAAAGGUGCAAUUGCACCACUACUAGCUGGACCGGCGUUGUAUUAGCUAGUAGGCGAGGUAACGGCUCACCCAGGCGACGAUACAUAGCCGACCUGGAGAGGUGGACGGCCACACUGGGACUGGGACACGGGCCAAACUCCUUCGGGAGGCAGCAAGAGGGAAACUUCGGCAAUGGACGAAAGUCUGACCGAACAACUCCGCGUGGGGGAAGGAAGUUUUCGGAUCGUAAAACUCUGUUGUUAGGGAAGGACAAGUGUGAGAGUGGAAAGUUCACGCUGUGACGGUAUCUUACCAGAAAGGAACGGCUAACUACGUG
rnacentral:rRNA from 1 species